GGAGUAAAGGUUGCUUUUGAUAGAAGUUUGGCAGAGUAAUGGUUCAAGGGAGAUGUGUAGCCGAGUAAGUUUUUUAGUUUCUGUUUCUGUUUUUCUUUUGGUUCUUAGAUUUAGAAGUUUUGAACAUAUUUGCCUGCUGACAUGAAAAGGCUAUGUCAGAAAAGUGGACAACUUUUGGAGCAGACAAGGAGUGAAGUAGGGGCUUUGAAAGGAGGGUUAACUGUCUGAGAUAGGUGAUGUAAUGAAGGAAGAAAGGAACUGAUGAGGGAAGGAUCACUGGUUGGCAUUCCCAGUCCAGGUCUAUGUUUUGAGAAGGCCAUUCCCAGAUAUUGUGUGGAUGAAGAAUACAUAGAGGACCCCGACCUGGACCUACAACUGUGUAUGAGUUCAUCUUCAAGCUAAAAUAGCCCAGAUGUCUCAGAAAAGACACAGUGUGACUAGAUACUCCUAGAAUUGCUUGCUCAAACCUACACUAUGCAUAACUUUUGACUUUCCAGUUAUACCAAUAAAGCAUCAUCAUUUUUGAAGAAAUACCCAGAGUCUUAAAAGACCCCAGAUAUUGUUGCUGCCAUCUCUGAACUCCAGUGGAUAGGGAAAAAUGUAGAACAGAUUCCCUUAUGGGAAGUUUAAAUCCUAAGGCAAUGUAGCCAAGUCAUUCUUAUUAUUCAUGAAAUCAACCUGUUUCAGGGAACAAAGCUUUCCAAUGCAGUUUUCAAAUAACACACUCAAACAGGUAUGCAAGUAAAAGAGCCGGAAAGAAAAGGAAAUUGGACCAUGAUAUGUUGAAUGCUUGCUUUGAAGAGAUAGUUACAGCAAAAUGAUCAAGACCACAGGAAUUGAGGGGAAGUCUG
ensembl:lincRNA